rnacentral:misc_RNA from 1 species
GGCUGGAUCACCUCCUUUCUAAGGAGCAUGUCUUCCAGCUUCGUGCUGGCAAGAUGCUCGGUCAACUCUCGGCAAAGCGUGUCACUCCGGCUCAGUUUUCAGCGGUCGACAAGAUCUCUGAGAGUAUUGAGCAGACAUAUAUACAGAGCGUCCAGGCAGUCCGCUUCGGUGGACGCCUGAGGGCCUGUAGCUCAGGUGGUUAGAGCGCACCCCUGAUAAGGGUGAGGUCACAAGUUCGAGUCUUGUCAGGCCCACCCGGGUGCGUUGUUACCCGACUCUGUAUAUGUCUUGUUUGAAAUCUGAAUAGAGGAAGAAGAGAGAAGCGCAUUUUGGCUGCGUUUUUUGCUGGGCUGUUGAGCCUUGCAGAGAGCGUCAGCGAGAAGCGCCUUAGGGAUAGGUCAAGCUACUAAGGGCGCGUGGAGAAUGCCUAGGCAUCGACAGACGACGAAGGACGUGGACAGCUGCGAAAAGCUGCGGGGAGUCGCUAACAGGCUUUGAUCCGCAGGUCUCCGAAUCGGGCAACCGAGCAGCGAUGAGCUGCUGACCCUUUGGGGUCGACAACCCAGUGAACUGAAACAUCUCAGUAGCUGGAGGAAAAGAAAUCAACCGAGAUACCCUCAGUAGUGGCGAGCGAAGGGGGUAGAGCCUAAACCGAUGUAGUGUAAGCAUGAGGGCGUUGCUGCAUCGGGGUUGUGAGACAGUCGUGGGGAACCUCAGAUACCCGACGAGACGUGUAAGCCUUAGCCGAACACUCUGGAAAGUGUGGCCAAAGCGGGUGACAGCCCCGUAGGCGAAAGGGCGAACCGGUCGUGAUUGUUCUCGAGUACCGCAGGGCACGUGAAACCCGGUGGGAAUCAGGGAGGACCAUCUUCCAAGGCUAAAUACUCGUCGAUGACCGAUAGUGGACAAGUACCGUGAGGGAAAGGUGAAAAGAACCCCGGUGAGGGGAGUGAAAGAGAACCUGAAACCGCGCGUCUACAAGCAGUGGAAGAGCUAUGGCGCAAGCAAUGCUCGACCGCGUACCUUUUGCAUAAUGGGCCUGCGAGUUACGCUAUGUCGCAAGGUUAAGCCGAUAGGUGAAGCCGAAGGGAAACCGAGUCCAAAUAGGGCGCGAAGUGGCAUGGUGUAGACCCGAAACCUAGCGAUCUAUCCUUGGCCAGGCUGAAGCGGGGGUAACACCUCGUGGAGGGCCGAACCCACUACUGUUGAAAAAGUAGGGGAUGAGCUGAGGAUUGGAGUGAAGGCUAAUCAAGCUGGGAGAUAGCUGGUUCUCCGCGAAAUAUAUUGAGGUAUAGCCUCGGACGAAUUGCAUCGGGGGUAGAGCACUGGAUGGGCUAGGGGGCUUACCCGCUUACCAAACCCAACCAAACUCCGAAUACCGAUGACAACUAUCCGGGAGACAGGCUGCGGGAGAUAAGUUCCGUAGCCGAGAGGGAAAGAGCCCAGACCGACAGCUAAGGUCCCCAAAUCCAGACUAAGUGUGGAAGGAUGUGGGAACUCUCAGACAGCCAGGAGGUUGGCUUAGAAGCAGCCAUCCUUUAAAGAAAGCGUAAUAGCUCACUGGUCAAGAGAGCCCGCGCCGAAAAUAUAACGGGGCUAAGUCUGGUACCGAAGCUUCGGACUUCCGUAAGGGAGUGGUAGCGGAGCAUUCUCAGGCAGAUACAUGGUGUACCGUAAGGAGCACUUCAGGGCCUGAGAAGAGCUUAUGCAGGCAUGAGUAGCGAUAAACAGGAUGAGAAAUCCUGUCGCCGUAAGCCCAAGGUUUCCUGGGGAAGGAUAAUCCUCCCAUGGGUUAGUCGGUACCUAAGCCGAGCCCGAAAGGGGUAGGUGAUGGCAAGCAGGUUAAUAUUCCUGCACCAGCUAGGGAGACGUUGAAUCGAGCAGGGACGGAGAAGGGUAUGCUGAGCCUGGUGAUUGGAUAUCCAGGUUCAAGCCAGUAGGCUGACUUCAUAGGACCCGACAGGGACAAACGUGGAGUCAAGGCCGAGAGGUGAUGAGGACAGGCUUCGGCCUGGUAACUCAGUGAUCCCAUGCUUCCAAGAAAAGCUGCGCGAGGAGUCCCUUAACUGACCGUACCGCAAACCGACUCAGGUGGGCGGGGUGAGUAUCCCAAGGCGCGUGAGAGAAUGCUGGCUAAGGAACUCGGCAAAUUGACACCGUAACUUCGGGAGAAGGUGUGCCCCUUUUGGUGAAGCGCGAACGCGUGGAGCUUCGGGGGGUUGCAGAGAAACGGGGGUUGCGACUGUUUACUAAAAACACAGGACUCUGCGAACUCGUAAGAGGACGUAUAGGGUCUGACGCCUGCCCGGUGCUGGAAGGUUAAGGGGAGUUGUCAGCCGUAAGGCAAAGCAGCGAACCGAAGCCCCAGUAAACGGCGGCCGUAACUAUAACGGUCCUAAGGUAGCGAAAUUCCUUGUCGGGUAAGUUCCGACCUGCACGAAUGGCGUAACGACAUCCCCACUGUCUCAGCCAGCAACUCAGCGAAAUUGUAAUCGCGGUGAAGAUACCGUGUACCCGCGGCAAGACGGAAAGACCCCAUGAACCUUUACUGCAACUUGACAGUGAAGCUCGGGAUAAUCUGCGUAGGAUAGGUGGGAGGCUGUGAAGCCGGGAUUCUGGUCUCGGCAGAGCCAACCUUGAAAUACCACCCUGAUUAUUCUGGGCUUCUAACCCAGGCCUGUAAGCCAGGUCGGGGACACUGUCUGGUGGGCAGUUUGACUGGGGCGGUCGCCUCCUAAAAAGUAACGGAGGCGCG